rnacentral:rRNA from 1 species
GAUGAACGCUGGCGGCGUGCCUAAUACAUGCAAGUCGAGCGAACAGAUGAGGAGCUUGCUCCUCUGACGUUAGCGGCGGACGGGUGAGUAACACGUGGAUAACCUACCUAUAAGACUGGGAUAACUUCGGGAAACCGGAGCUAAUACCGGAUAAUAUAUUGAACCGCAUGGUUCAAUAGUUAAAGACGGUUUUUCUUUCACUUAUAGAUGGAUCCGCGCCGCAUUAGCUAGUUGGUAAGGUAACGGCUUACCAAGGCAACGAUGCGGAGCCGACCUGAGAGGGUGAUCCGCCACCCUGGAACUGAGACACGGUCCACACUCCGACGGGAGGCAGCAGUAGGGAAUCUUACGCAAUGGGGGAGAGCCUGACGGAGCAGCGCCGCGUGAGUGAUGAACGUCUUCGGAUCGUAAAACUCUGUUAUUAGGGAAGAACAAAUGUGUAAGUAACUAUGCACGUCUUGACGGUACCUAAUGAGAAAGCCACGGCUAACUACGUG